rnacentral:pre_miRNA from 1 species
GAAGAACAAACCUUUCAAGUUAGCUAAGGAGACUACCUGAGAUCUCUAAUUAACAACAUUAAUUGCUUUUGAUGAAACUAAUUAAAUAAUUAAAAGGCUCAGGCAAGUCAUUCUUGGCUACUAAACAAUAAGCUCAUUAUC